GACGAACCGUGCGAACGUUAUCCGGAAUUACUGGGCGUAAAGCGCACGCAGGCGGUUCGCCAAGUUUGGCGUGACAGUUGUCGGCUCAACCGACAAAGGACUUCAAAAACUGGUGAACUUGAGGACGAGAGAGGAACAUGGAACUCCAGGUGUAGUAGUGAAAUGCGUAGAUAUCUGGAAGAACACCAAUGGCGAAGGCAAUGUUCUGGCUCGUUUCUGACGCUCAGGUGCGAAAGCCAGGGGAGCGAACGGG
rnacentral:rRNA from 1 species